GGGCGCAAGCCUGAUGCAGCCACUGCCGCGUGUGCUGAUGAAGGCCUUCGGGUUGUAAAGCAUCUUUCAGUCGGGAGGAAGGCGGUGGAGUUCAUAGCAGGAUGAUUUGACGUUAGCGACAGAAGAAGCACCGGCUAACUCCGUGCCAGCAGCCGCGGUAAUACGGAUGGUGCGAGCGUUAAUCGGAAUUACUGGGCGUAAAGCGCAUGCAAGUGGUUUGUUAAGUCCGAUGUGUAAGCCCGGGACUCAACCUCGGAAUAGCCUUUGAAACUGGCAGACUAGAGUACUGUAGAGGGGGGUAGAAUUUCUGGUGUAGCGAUGAAAUGCGUAGAGAUCUGAAGGAAUACCUGUGGC
rnacentral:rRNA from 1 species